rnacentral:lncRNA from 1 species
CGAACACGUUUGCUUUUGCGAUUCGAGAGCCCUUUCUGGCGCGGAGCUAGGGGCGGUGUUACGUAGCUGCCCUGAACUGAGAGCAGCGUUGGCCGGGGGCUAGGGAGCCGGGCUGUUCCACGCUCACUGUGCGCCUCGGGCGGCGGGGCUCGGGCUCUGUCCGAGGUGCUGAACUCCGGGGCUCCGGCCGCGCCGGCAGAGUGUGCCAGCGUCCAUUAUUGCCAGUGUCUGUGGGCAUCUUCCAGAAGGCCGAGCAUGGGGGUCAGGUGAAACCAGGGCGCUCCCAAGCACCUUGCCCAGUAGAGCCCCCUUGCACCCUGCUUGGUUGGUCAGCACCCCAUGGACAUGCAGCCUUGACCUUGGCAUGGGAAGCCUCCACUGUGUCAAGCCCAACAUCCAGGCCUCUGAAGACAGUCAUUCAGGUUUUCCAGGAGAGAAUCCACUUUUUGUUUUAUCUGGGUCAACUCCUUCAUAAUGGCCUGAAGGUCAUCUCCUCUCAACUUUCCAGACUUGGAAGAUCCCUGCUGUCCACUCUUAGAAUUGAGGCCACUUUUGCCCCUUCAUGAGGUGUUUCCUGAUACACGCUGACGUUUUGAGAGCACUACAGCCCAAGCAAUAGGAGGAGGAGGAGGCACACGUGCUGAGUAACUGUACAUCGUGUCAUCAUAAUCACCUUGAUAGUCAUAGCCCAAGUGAAAAGAGGAGCUAUACAUCUCCACUGCAGAUCGUUUCACGCCUGCUUUUCCACGGUUCACUUUUGGCUCUGCAGCCAGGUUAAUAUCUAAAACCUGGCCAGCAAUCAUUCUAUCAUCCUCUCCUGCUCCAGCAGCCCGGGCAUUUCUCUCACUAAAAUAUUGAACAAAGGCAAAGCCCUUAUGAACAGCACAGCCCAUUUUGCCAUACUUCGAAAAGAUUGCCUCCACAUCAGAUUUCUUGACCACAAGAGUGUUGAGAUUCCCAAUGAACACAUGGGAGUUCAUGGAGCAAGGAUUUGUCUUGUUGGUAACGUUGCUGGCCAUUGUGUUUGCUGAUAAGGUUUCUCACAAAGCUGAAAACAGGAGGGGGAGGGAGAAGAGAUUCGAUUCUGAGUCUCCUACUCCCGGGUUCUACAUGGAGAAGCCAACUGCUGCUCAAGGUCACCAACACGGCCACAACCACUCAGUCUUCGUCUCUUCACAAAAAAAUCAAUAGUAGGUUUUUUUCCUCACCUGUGUAACAUCUUGUCACUCCAGAUAAACACCACCAUCCCUGAGCUGGACUUGACCCAAGUUCCCUGGUCACAUCUCCAUGGCUUCCAAGUAGAUGACAGCAUCCUGGCUGGGCUAUCAGGUCCCAGGAUGCAAUGAUAUUACAGAAAUAGUUCCUGUGGCCCCAUAAGUCUACAGGAUUGAGGCUGCUUCUCACCUCUGUCUCCUUCCAAAUUGGCUCUGGAACAGGGAUAGGCUGUAAUAUAUAGAUGGGACCCUCAGAACCUCUACCUGAGGGGUUCAGGGGAGCCAGAGGCAGGUAACACCAGGCAGGAUCCUCCUUGAAUUCAUCCUUUAUGCCUUUAACAAAGUAACCAAGCACAUGCUCUAGCGAUAAUCAAUUUAGGCACAUCCCACAGAUUCCAGCUUCUCUGCCACCAACCACCAGGCAUGAUCUAAGCAAGCUCUUUCACCUCUUGGAGCCUUAAUUUUCUCAUCUACAAAAUGGAAUAACGCGAUCAUCCUUGAAGCCAUGAAUAUCAAUUAUUACAGAAAUGAAAAGGGAUCCUGCACCCAAAUUCAAAUCAAGCAAGUUCACCUAGAGGUUGCCGUGGGGUGGAGGGCCCAGAUCUGGGCUGUUUGGAUCUCUCUGCAGGAUGAAAGGGAUUUCCUGGACCUGGCUUUGCUGUCCCUUGCUCCUUUUGUAAGCAUCUGACUCUUCCUCUAUCCAUAAAGAUGAAGACAUUCUUUCGCAGGGAUUUAAUAUUGGGGCUGCAUGCCUGGCCCCUGAGAAAGCCCAAGCUUCCUCCUCCUUUUGAAUCGAACCCAGUGCAGCUUUAUGCGCUCCAGACGAGCCUGCAUUCCCCCUAAUGCCCCUGGAAUUGCUUACUCACACCAAAAUCCGCUGCCUCAGGCGUUUCCAGCCAGAGGUAAGCCUUCUUUUCAUGGGCAAUCAGGCAGUAGCCUGGAGCACAGAGGGGAAGGGGGGCACCUGCAUGCCCGGCUGGGUCUCUGUAGACAGUGGAUCAUGCGAGGCCUCCCCUCUCCUUGACCCUGUGUGAUGAGCCCUGGGAGGAGGCACCCAGGCCAGGGGAGGAGCUGCGUAGUGACAGAAAGGGCAUCUACAUCUCUACCACGUAAGUGGGGAAACUGAGGCUGGGCCUAGCACCAGAUCACUCAUGUUGAAACCUAGGUUUGAACUGGGUCUCUGAAUCCCCAUCCAGAGCUCACUGCCUUAAGGCUGAGGUGCCUGUGAGUGUCUGAGGACCCUUACUAUGAGACAGUGUUAUCGCUGACUUACAGUCUGGGUAAAGAAGGUGAAUGCAGUCAGAGGAGUAGAUUCAGGUGUCAGACAUUUGCAUAAAAUACCAAUUGCUCCUCAUGUUGGGGAGGUAAUUCACAAGCUUGAAUCUCUAAAAGGCUGCAUCUGGUGGAGGGCGGGGCUAUGUGUCUGUGCACGUCUGGUCUUUGGAGUUCUUAUUCAGCAAAUAUUGAUUGCAAGCCCACCAUGUGCCAGGCAUCAUGCCUGGGGCUUGGGAUCCAGAGAUGAAGAGACAGUCAACCAAGUCCAUCAGGCUCUGCCAACCCCUGUAGUGUGAGUGGUGGUUGGAGCACGUGUUAUACCCCCAAAAGGUGGGCUUGGCCAAGCCCUUCCACUUACCAGCCAUGUGUCCUUCUGGAUGGCAGUUUCCUCAUCUGCAAAAUGUGUGUAGCCCUAAGACCUGUCACCCAGGACCAUUUGGGAGGUCAGCUGUUGUUUUGCAGGUGAAAAGAUCCAUCUGGUCUCUGGGCCUGGCACUCUAUCUAUAAAAUGAGGCUCUACUCCAGCAUGUACCCACGGUGUGCUCUGGGUAGUAAACUGUGGUGGUUUAGCACUUUGCCUUUGGGUCUGACAGUCCUGGAUUCAAAUCCAGACUCUGCCCUCUACUGUGUAACCUGGUGCAUGUCACUUAACCUCUGUGGAACCCAGUAUUCUCAACUAUUAAAUGAGGAUGAUAAUAGUAGUAAUCAUAGUAGUACCUAGCUCAGACUGUUGGUGUAAAAAUUAAAUGAGCUAAUUAAAAUUAAAAAGUAAAGUGUUUUGCACAGAGACACUCCUAGUAAGCCCUGAAGAAAUGAGAGCUAUGCUUUUGAUUAUUAAUAUUCUUAUAAUCCAAAGGAUGAUGCAGGAUUUUUUAAAUCUUUCCACAUGUAUGUUUUUGGACCAGUCCAAAAAAGAAUUGGAAACACACUUAUGCCGCAUAAAGACAGAGUUAUGAGGAACUAUAAAAACAAAAUAAAACCUUUGGAGAAUCAACUGCAAAGACAUGUAUUCUGUUUUUAUUAUAGUUCUGAGCCCAACAGUGUCUCACCAGGUGACUACCUGAGAUAUCCAACAUCAUAUGUCCACCAGAGGGUGGGGAACACUCAGCCCCUUUUUA